ensembl:lncRNA
CCCAAACACUUGCGGGACCAGACGGAGACAGGGACAAAACCAGGGGUGGAGAAGGUUCACAGCCCCACCCAGGCCUUCAUCCAUCAUCUACAACAGCAAGCACUUACCCCUCCCAAUCCCUCCCCAUCACCUGAGGUCCUGGCUGGGACUGUGUCAGUGGAGGAUCACACUGUCUCCACUGUGGCCAGUGAGAUGGAGGAGGCCCCUCCACCCAUCCAGCCAGCAGUUCUAGGACAUGCAGGAGCCCAGUCUGCGAUGCCCCUCAGCCCUUGUGUGUUGGUGGCCUAUCCAGCUUCACUACACCCAGAGACAAAGGAGACUACUCUGCUAUGCCACUCUCCUACCCUGCUAUGCCACUCUCCUACCCUGCUAUGCCACUCUCCUACCCUGCUAUGCCAAUCUCCAUCUGAGCAGGGUUUAGGGACCACACCCCCGGCUGGGCAGGGCUUAUGGACCACACCCCCGAAUGGGCAGGGCUUAUGGACCACACCCCCGAAUGGGCAGGGCUUAAUGAGCACCCCCCCGAAUGGGCAGGGCUUAGUGAGAACACUCCGGAAUGGGCAGGGCUUAGUGAGCACACCCUUUACUAGGCAGGGCUUAGGGUCCACACCACAACAAGACAGUUUAUCUUCCCCACCAAGUGGGGCCACCUCCCUGGGACUGGCUGGGUCUGGAUCUGGGUCUGGAAGUGCCGUCCCUCAAACCCAGGCUGCAGUGUUCAGAAGCCCCUCCCCUCUGCCUGUCAGCACCUCCCCCCAGCUCCAGACUGCAGUGUUCAGAAGCCCCUCCCCUCUGCCUGUCAGCACCUCCCCCAGCUCCAUACUGCAGUGUUCAGAAGCCCCUCCCCUCUGCCUGUCAGCGCCUCCCCCAGCUCCAGACUGCAGUGUUCAGAAGCCCCUCCCCUCUGCCUAUCAGCGCCUCCCCCAGCUCCAGACUGCAGUGUUCAGCAAUCCCAGCCCCUCUCCUCUACCGGUCUGUGUGCCUCAGCAGCAGCCUGACCCCCUCCUAGCGCAGCCUGACCCCCUCCUAGCGCAGCCUGACCCC